rnacentral:rRNA from 1 species
UGGGGAAUCUUGGACAAUGGGGGGCAACCCUGAUCCAGCCAUGCCGCGUGAGUGAUGAAGGCCUUAGGGUCGUAAAGCUCUUUCGCCUGUGAAGAUAAUGACGGUAGCAGGUAAAGAAACCCCGGCUAACUCCGUGCCAGCAGCCGCGGUAAUACGGAGGGGGUUAGCGUUGUUCGGAAUUACUGGGCGUAAAGCGCACGUAGGCGGACCAGAAAGUUGGGGGUGAAAUCCCGGGGGCUCAACCCCGGAACUGCCUCCAAAACUAUUGGUCUAGAGUUCGAGAGAGGUGAGUGGAAUUCCAAGUGUAGAGGUGAAAUUCGUAGAUAUUUGGAGGAACACCAGUGGCGAAGGCGGCUCACUGGCUCGAUACUGACGCUGAGGUGCGAAAGUGUGGGGAGCAAACAGGAUUAGAUACCCUGGGUAGUCCACACCGUAAAACGAUGAAUGCCAGUCGUCGGGUAGCAUGCUAUUCGGUGACACACCU